UUUUUUUUUGAGUAACCCCUGAAAUUAAGAUUCCUAGGCACAACCGAACAAGCAACAUAUCUAGUUUAAAAACAACUUAUUACAGAAUAGACCGUGAAGCAAAUUAAUAAUAAAACUAUAAAAAGCACUCAAUUGAAAUGGAAAAUUCCAGCCAAGAGGUAGCGUAACGCUAGGUGGAAACAAGCGGCUGAUCUUCCUCCUCUCCGUCGUCGUCUUCGCCCCCGGUGAGUGGCUCGUACUCGUACUCCACCUCCGCCUCAUCGUCGUCGACGCCCAACUCUUCCGCGUCGAUGUUAACCAAGAACCGCCUCCUCGUCGGCUCUCCCUCGCCGUCCGGACCCGGCGGGUCGAGGUAGUGGCCGUACAGCCGGACACUGGACGACGCCGAGUCGUGGCGGAGGACGAACUCGCCGUCGCCGGCGAGCUCCAGCGGCGGCACGGGCGCGAUGGGCUGCUCCGAUGACAGCGUCCCGAUCGUGCACACCUCGUUCCCGGCCUCGGCUCAGACGGUGACCUGCGCCUGGCCGCGGGCGGCGGCCGGGUCGGCCAGGGACAGCCCGGUGACGCGGAGGCGCUGGCCCUCCGACAACGAUAUGCGCAUGCGCCUCUCCCCGCCCCUCCACGUCAUCAGGCGCGGCGGCUCCUCCGCCUCCAUUGCCUCCGAUCGAUCAAGCCGCCGAUGGAUCGACGAGGUGGGUGAUCCACAAGAACUCGAUCGCCAGGGGGAUCGGUGUUGUUGUGACUUGUGACUUCCGUGGCGCAAGCAUAUAGAGACGAUGAAGAGCUCCGGAGACGGGAUUGGUUGUCGCUUGCCGCGCGAAGGAGAGUCCGAGUUCGAACCGAGAACGGAUAGGUUCCGUUGCUACUCCCUAAAACCCUCUUUCCGAAAUUGGGAUUACGUUUCAAAGGGGUAAAGGCGUAUUCGAGUCGCAUUACGCUUCUAACAGAGAGGUGCAUCCAGUCAGAACCAGGAAGCUAGCUACUUUUAGGAACAUAAAACUAGCUACUCCCUCCAUUUCAAAUUUUUAACUUUUUUAGAGAGUCAAAAUAUCUUAAGUUUAACCAAAUUUAUACAAUGAAGUACUGACAUUCAUGAUACCAAAUAAAUAUUAUUAGUUUCUUCAUUAAAUAAAUUUUCAUAGUACAUAUCUAUUCGGUGUCAUCAACUUUUGUGAUCCUCUUUAUAAUUUUGAUUAAACAUAAAAUAAUUUGGUUCUAAAAAAAUUAAAAUAACUUAUAAUCUGAAACGGAGGGAGUACUAAAGUGUGCAAAAUCAAUUGAAUUUGUUUAGCUAACGUGUCAGCCGAGUAGCCAACUGCAUCCCCCCAUCAUCACCCCAUAUGCCACUGGCACACUGAUGGCAAAUUCUGGAUUUCAAAAUAUUCCAACGGCAAAUUUUGGGUUGCCCCUAUAUUAUAGUGUAUUCUGUUGAAAACACCGUGAACAUUCGUAAUACUCCAUUAUAUUUUAUUCCGUACAUUUUCAUAUUAUUAAGGUCCCCAGUUGAUUGAGUUCUCCAAUUCAGUUCAUGGUGAAUUGAACUGAAGCCUGAGCAGCUGCAGGUCUGGCACGAGCCUGGCAAGGCCCGGCCAUCUUCGUGCUGGGCCAAGACCGGCACUACGGCGCCACCAUGCCGUGCCGUGCCCGCCCACGCGCCGCACCACAUGGGCCCACGAGCUCUUUUUGGUGCCAGGCAACCCGGCUGGCCUAGGGAGUCCGUCGGGCUCGUGUCGGCCUUGCGCCCGCUGCUCGCUGGAGUGGGAGUUGGUGGAGGAGGAGGAGGGGAAGCGGCGCCAGAGGCGGCGGAGGCGGUGGAGGGAGCGGAGGAGCCUGCAGGUCCCGGCGGGGCAGGGCGGGGAGGGGAGGGCUGGAGGGGGCAAGGGAGGCCGAGGUGGAGCGCGAGUGCGGGCGGGAGCGCCGGGGAUGAUGUGGCGGAUGCGAGGCGCCGGAAGGCGCAUGCGGUGGCGGGCUGCGCGAGGAUGCAGAGCAGCACGUCCUCCAGCACCGUGCCCGGCUCCGUCACCGCCGGUGAGGUCCGCAUGGUGGCGGCGCUCCGAUCUGGGGGUCGGGGCUCGAGGAUACGCGGAUGGAUGCGGUGGAGGAGAGGGGGAGCGGCGCGGCGGCGCCGGCGGCGGAGACGAGGAGCUUCGAAAUGGGGAGGUCGACGAUCGGAGGGAAGCGCCGCCACCGGAGUCGAGGCCUGGCGAGCGGCGAGGGAGAGAGGCGGGCAGGCAGCGGCUUGGUGGGGAACGCGGCCAGGGAAGGGUGGCGACGGGGGUAGAGGUAAAAUGGAUUAGGGUUGGCUGCCAGAGUUUCUGGUGUUGGUAUUUAUACGGGCCCUUAGCGGGCCUGCUCCUUUAGAUUGUGUCGAGCCGGGCCGCCCGGCGUGCUGGGGUGGCGGCCCACGCCCGGCACGAGCUAGCGGGCUGGUCCAGCACAGGCACGAAGGCCGCCGUGCCAGGCUGGGCUUGGACCGGGCCAAAAAGAUGGGCUUGUGGGCGGGCUACCGGGCCGCGGGCCAUCUAUAGCUGCAUGUGACAAGAACACAAGUACACAGCACAAGGCUUUGCAGCUUUUUAACAGACCAAGGACAGGGCAUAACCGGUACGAUGGGUACGUGCAACAGAAACUCAGAAACAGAUGCUGCUAGCUGCUCUUCUGAACCCUCAUGGCAUUCUCUCCUCAAUGAGGCUAUAAAUCUGGGUCGAGCUGCAGGGCAACACCUUCACAGCCAAUGCGUCUCAACAGCAAGUCUUUCCCUUCCGAUUACAUACAGUUAAUUGCUAUGAUAAUCUAGCUAGUGUCAGGCACUGAAGGUGAGAAUUGGAGGAAAACAAACCUGUAGAUCAUCAGGUUGUGUAGCAGAUCGAUGGGAAAAAACAUGAUCGCCGAUCGGUUUGUUUUCCUCCAAUUUCUUACCUUCAGUUGAUAGCCUGGCUGGCUGUACAGACGACACGAAGAAAGAUGCUACCGACAUUCAUAUGUGCCAUUUGAAGUGAGGAUUAGAUGGAACUGAACCAUCUCAUGAAAGACAAGGAGCAAGGUUCAGUUUCCUCUAAUAUCUCAUCUCGAAUGGCCCAUUCCGGAUACGGUUUUCGGCAUAGCUGAGAUGCAGUCGCCCAAAGUGAGUUCCAGAGGGAAUCUAACUCCAAAUCACUCCAUCAGAUACAUAGAUACAGUCUGUGUUCAUCGUCUGGUUUGUUUUCAUUCCAGAUCUUACCUCAGCUGAAUUGCUUCAUACGGAAGUUGUUGACUACCUGUUCUUAGUACUAGCCGAACCAAAAGUAAGGGCUUCAAGCUUCAAUGUCAAUGGCAAGAAUCCACACUCCUUGACCCCUGAACGCCGACAAAUUUAGUUUUGCUAGAACCGUUUAUUCAGUACCGAUCAUGCUGCCUUCCUCAAGACUUGCUCUGCCCUUUCUGAUAAAAUAACUUCACUUGCCCUGACCAAACCUUUCUGAAGAACAUAGUUUCACUGGAGUUUUAAAAAAAACAUGUUUGACGAUCCAUGGACAAAUUCCCGUUGUUUCCAUUUCCAACUUUUUUGCUACUCGCAAAGUGAUCGUCAGGCACUAAGAGUGAGGGUGGGAGGAGGGAAAACUGUCUGAUCAUCACAGUCUGCAAAAGUAAUCACCUAAUUCAGCUUGGCUUUCUCCAAUAUCUCAACCUUUAGUUGAUAGCCUGGCGGCAAUAGACAACAUGAAGAUAUGUGCCGUUUGAUCUCUCGCCUUGAAUAUUCCAUUUCCACAGAUUAUUUUCAGUAUGUGACCGAGAUGCAGUCAUCCUAUCCGAGAAUUGGAAGAAAUCAAACUCGAUCACACAGCCAGAUGGAUAGAUAGAUAAAUUGUCCUGCUGUCCAGCUUGUUUUCUUCGGUAUCUUAUAUUUGAAUGAAUUUGCUUGAUCCUGAGUUGUUUCCUUCCCUCAAAAGAUUGACUCUGAGUUGUUGAGUUGCCAUUAGUGCUAACCAAGGGCAAAGAGAUGUCAUGCAUUGAUCAACAGAUGCAGAACAGAGAUACAGAUGCAGGGCUUCAGUAUUAAGGUUAAUGGCAAGAAUUCACCCCGACAAAUGUAGUGAUGCAAUAAACAUUAUUCAGUCAACCGCAUGUUGCCUCUUCUAAGCUCAAAACGUUUUAUCCCUCACCCUAUCUGCAGAACAUGAGUCCCACUGGGAUCCUACAAGAAAGACAGAACAUGUCUGAACUCUCAAAUGAAUUAUUCCCUCUUUUUGAUUAUAACCACAACAAUGAAUACAAGUAAAGCAUAGUAGUACCAGUACAUAGGCAAAGCUCCUUUCCAGUUCACUAAGACCCAAAAACUACAUAACAAAAAGGGUCCAAACAAUCCCCAAUUGAUGGUUGUACAAAAAACAUGACCAGAGAGAGUAUUCAGGGCUAGAAGAGACCAGAUAGCAUGGUUAAAUGACUAUUCUUAAACUUUACAUGGCGUUUGUGUAAUGUCAAAUAAGGUUUGUAAAAUAUGUUCUGAGCCUCAAGUAACAAUCAUGUGAAGUCAGGUGGCUGAUCAGUCCAUCCAAAGCAACUUUUGUCAAUCUAUGUACAGGGGGAAAAUAUAAAUUGCCCAGCCAGAAAUACUGGUGGAUGAUUGACAGCCUUAGAAAUUCCCAUGGGCCAUCGCUACAUGAGAUUGGAUCACUCUCAUGGAUAGAGAAUACACAAGCUUCAUUCUGAGGGAAGCCAACACAUCAUUGGUGAUGUCUAGUAACAGUUUGCAACCAUGUGAACUGUGUAUUCUGGAUGUGUCAGAUCAGCCUAGAAGAGUCUAGGUUCGAAAUUACUGGUUUGUCAUCUGGCUCUUCAUUAGAGCUACUGAUCCCAGAACACUCGUCAGAAGACCAGUCACUUGGUGCUUGUUCCUGAUCAUCACUUUCAUCCUUUACUGAUGCACCAUCUGAGUCGAUAACUGAAGGGAAUGGCUGCUGCAUUUGAUCUUGUAGGCUUCCAUCAUCCUUUCCCCUCCAAACAAUAAUCUGUUCCUUGUCAAAAGAGACAAGAAUGCAAGGAACAAGGUCCUGCACCAAAAUAAUACGAUGUGAUAUACAAUCUAUUAUAAAUCAAUAAAUCAUGUUCAAAUCAGAUACACAAUUUCGGUAAACUCAUAUGAUAAACUCACCCUGAGUUUGACUCCAAUCUUCCGAUAAUCACUUUUUGGUAAUCCUUUACAAUCUAUUCGAGCCAAUUCAUCAACCAAAAAGGCAUCCCGAACCAUUGGCACAAGACUAGCAUAAUAUCCAUUCUUGGCUGUAAAAUAGGAUGAUUUUUAGUGAUCAAAGUCAUUUACUAUAUGUAUAUCUAAGCAGAGAAGGGAACAGAAUUACCAAGCUUCGUCAAAACAGGAACAUGUAGGCCCUUCUUCCUCAUUUGCUUCGUCUCCUCAACUGUGAGCCCCUCUAUUGUUGUUUUGAUCAACCUUGGGUACACAGGUUCAACUGGCUUCCAUAGCAUCAACGGAAUAACAGGCCUUUUCUUUGGAUUGUAAUGCCUACCCCUGUACAGUAUCAACUGACCCCCUUGCCUGUGGAUGAUCAGUCCACCAGUUUUAUCCUGGGAAAACCAUGGUCAUGAAUCUACUUGGAAACCAAUGCUAACACCUGAAAAUGUCCACCAAUAUUUUAAAUAAUCACUGCAAUUGAAAGUAAACAUGUAGCUACCUCAAGCUGGUGGCACACAUUUUGCAUAUCAACUGUUGGCACACCUAGGCAUUUCACCCUGACCGCCUCACAGCUCUUCCAGUUAUUGUGGAUGUCAUUUAGCAUGUUGUGAGUAAGCCCGUCUCUCCCUACAACAAGUCAACUAAAUGAAUUAGCAUCGUUCAUCAUGAUGAUUUGAAAUGACACCCGAAUCAGCAAAUUGGCUGCUGUUCUUGCUACAACAAAAUCACAAAAUUUUACCAAGGUUAAUCUGCCGCUUGGUGCGGUUCUUCUGGCAUUUCUCGACCAAGAACGCGCGCUCCGCGGGCGUGAGCGGCUCUCCCAGCACGCGCUCCCGCUCCCGCCGGCGGGCCUCCUCCAGCCCCCUCUCGGCGUCGGGGAGGGGGUCCUCGGCCGCGACGUCGCGGAGCGUGGCGUCGACGGCGGGCGCGCAGAGUCCCGUCCAGGGUCGGUCGAGCCGCCCGGGCCCGAACGGGGAGUACUUGGGCUCGCGGAGCCCGAUGGGCUUGGAGGCCGUGGUGCUCUCGGUGUAGCUGAAGCGGAAGUCGAAGGGGAGGUCCGAGUGCGCGGGCGGGCGGCCGCCGCGGUCCAGCGAGGACGGCGGGCGGUAGGGGGGCUUCUUGGCGCGGCGCUUCUUCGCGGCGGCGGAGUCGGUGGCGGCCGCGCGGGGCGGCUCUCGCGGGGACGGGGUCAGGGAGGCCGGGGCCACGAAGCCGUAGCGGUCGAGGAGGCGGGAGAGGUGGCGGUGGGGCGGGAGAUGGGGAGGUGCGCGCGCGCGGCGGAGGAGACCGGGGAGGGGGAGCAUGGGGCGGCGGCGGCGGGACGGGCGGCUCACUAGCUGAGGUGCUGUGGCUGUGCCGGCAGACGGCCGGCGACCGGCGGCGGUGGGGGUUAAGGGUCCUGCUAGUGGGUUUUUGGGAGGGAAGAUCUCAGCCGUACAAUGGAAGGCUGCCUCGAUAACGAACGGUUCGAUUUGAUUGUUAUUUGUUCAUGCUUUGAUCCCCUGAGAUCUGAAGGCUGCCAGUUUUUACUUUUUAGAAUACGGUAUGAUGUUGCAACAUUCCUGUGAGGAUUACAAUCCACGAGUUUUAGACAUUUCAUGAAGAUAAGAGAAGGAGAAAUCAAUGCACGUAUAUUUAAUUAAAUUUAGAGAAGGAGAAUGUAACCUCAGAGAAAUAUUGUUUGUCCAUAUUUCCAUAACCUAAAUUCAGAGCACGAAUUGGUUGUGCUGUAACUUUUGGAAAAACUACUAUGAGAUGUAAACUAUAGAAAAGAAGCUGUAAGAAAGCAGCUGUGAAAAAAGCAGAAGACAGUUUGGUUAGAACAGCUGUGAAACUGUAGCAUGUGUAAAAAAUACCUGUAAUAUCCUUAAAGGCCUGAGGGUCUGUUAUAUGAAAUUUAGUCGUAACAAAAUAAUGUGUUCACUAAUUCGCAUGUAAAUGACUAUUUUAGAAAGGAAAAAAAUAAUUUUUUUAAUAUUUUUCAUCCAUCAAAGUGAUUGGUCCACAUAAAUAGAACAAUAUCCGUUAAAAGGCUUAUACAAUGAUGCCAUCCCUCAAUACAACUGUUCUCCCCUCGCGCUAACCAAAGCAUCAGCUAUCCUAGUACGAAUGGUAUUCAUGGUAUCCUCAUACUCCACAUCGUCACUCUCAUCUCCUUGUGUUUGUGUCGUGCCACUUGUAUGUUGUACCAAGUACUCCUCAUCAACAUCACAUCUUUCGAAAUCCUUAUCACACAAAUUGUUGUCACGGAUAAAGUUAUGCAAUGCAAGACAAAGCAUAAUGAUAUGCUUCUGAGUACGAGGUGAGAAACUUAGCAUGCCCUUCAAAAUACACCACUUCUGCUUUAAGACUCCAAAAGACCUUUCAAUGACAUUACGAAGAGAUGAAUGCAAGAAAUUGAACAUCUCGUACUUUCCUUGAGGAGGCUCCGAACAAUAUUAAACUUGUUGUGAACUGUCCAAAGUGACCGUGUGAAACGAUUUUCAGCUUGUGAAAAAGAUUGUGGUCCUCCAACAAUCCACAAGAAUAUCGCCAAUGACUCAGUAGAUGAAACAUUGUUGGUUGAGGUUAAUCCAUAGGUAGAGACUAGCAAGUCAUGAAGUUUCUCGAAAAUCUCGGUGCUCAUCCGAAACAUCUUAUAAAAAUACCUUGGAUGUGACAUACACCUCAUCACCUAUUGAAUUCCAGUUUCUAGCGUUUCCCUGUAUUCACCUUUGUGCAAAUACCGAAAGUAUACAAGUUGCCCAUUUCUCCAAUAGUACUAGCAUGCUGUGCAAGUUCAGCUAGCAAUAGUAGUCCUUUUUACCCUUCUUUAGCUACAUCUCCCAAUCUAUCAUCCACCUACAUGAGACACAAGUAUAUUAAUAAUUAAAUACAACAACAUUCUUGACAAUAUUAUAUGAAGAAGCUCAACAUAACACAAUAAUAGAUAAAUAAUGUUUCACAUGCCCAAGCAAAUUAUGGUUCAACAUAGGGUAACUUAUUUUGGUUCAACAUAGGAAAAAUGUUAUCACAUAUGACAAGAAAAUAAUCUGAUAAACAUGAAAACAAAUCAGUGGCGCUUCAUCAUCUCCUUUUCUAGCUCCUCUCAAUCAAAUCGAAUCUUCCUUUAGUUGUUUCUAGAGAGCUAAAAAGCUCCCUAAAUUCAAGCUUAACAAUUAGGGAGGCGGCUGUGUACAUUAGAGCAGUUCCUUCUUGCACCCCUACAUUCUUUUAUCAUCUUCAUAGUCUCUGCAAUGGCAGGAACUAGAUUGGUUGGGGUUUCUACCUUCAAACAAGUGUUCUUGUACAAACGAAAGAAUGGGCUCUUCUCAUCCUUCUCUUCAACGCCAAUGGAGAUCCUCUUACGUUUCCUUUUUCCUAGGUUCACUAUCUUAUCCUUCUGUGUAGGUUUUAGUACCUCAUCCACAUCCUCAUCACUUGCCUCAUCAGAAGAUAUAUCUCCAGGAUAGGAUGCAGAAGACCCGCUAACAUGUGCCUUGCCAAACAAGAUAUGAAGAUCAUCAAGGAACUUGGGUCCUUAUUUUCGAAACUUCACAUGAUUGCAUUUGAUUCCUUUAUCACGAUUGUUGCAUUUCUAAAAUUAAAAAAAAGCAAGGCACACCAUAACAAAGAAUGGGAAAAAUAUAUUUACAAUGAUAAUAUAGUUCUUACAGCAAGGUGUUUGUUCCACCAUUCUUCUGAGCAGUCAACCGUUUGUUUUGCCUCAUCCCAUCCAAGACCAGUGGCACAAUUCUUAAACUCCAUAAACGUUGAAUACUCCUUUUUCAGAACAUCUAACUUCUUGUUUUUUUCACCUAUCACCGGAUUUUUCUGCAAACUUGGAAACAAUAUUCUUCCAACCGGUAGUAGUGAAAAUUUCCAUUGACCUAUUCCCAGCUUCAAUCUCUUCUUUGCAGGCAUCAAUCAAAUGCCUUAAAAAAGCAUCACCCCAAUCUACCUUGUCACCAUUCUUCAACCAACCAAAAAUAUUAUUUGAUUCAAUUCUUUUUCAUAUUACAAGCCAAUAAAAUCAAGCACCAAACAUCCUACCUAACCACGCAAAUCAACCAAACAGCUCACUGCAUUUAGUAAACAGAAGGGAGAGAUGAACCUUGGAGCAGCAAAUCCGUCCUGGGGGCACCAGAGGGAGGUUGCUGUGGGGCGGUGGUCGGGUGCGAAGGGGUGCGGCGGGCAGAGGGAGGUUGCCGUGGGGCGGUAAUCGGGUGCGACGGGGUGCGGUGGGUGGCAGGCAGGUGGGGGGCGACUGGUGCGGGGGAUGGAUGGGUAAUUUCUUUACCAAAACAAGUAAAAAUAAGGGGAACCUACUUUUGAAUUUGUACUAAAGUGAAAACUGCUUUUGGCAAAAGUACAUAUGAUUUUUUUACCCCUUUAGUUAGCUUUUAACUUUUGUACUAAAGUGAAAACUGCUUUUGGCAAAAGUACAUAUGAUUUUUUUACCUCUUUAGUUAGCUUUUGACUUUUGCAAAAGCAAAGGUCUGGAAGUCCAACCAAAAGGGGCUAAGGUAUGCAAGAUUUUGAGAUGCAGAGUUUCGACCGGAGGCCUCUACACUUCACCAGUUUUACCGAGCCACUGUACUGGUUCUGUGCUUGCAAAUGGAUCACGAAGAUGAAGAGAUCAGUAAAAAAAAAACUGGGUUUCCAAUCCCUUGAUUGAGUAACUACAGACAAAACUACAAGCGUACAACAAUCAGGGCUAAUAUUUAAUAUUUCAGGUUAAAAACCUUGCCAACCAUAACAAGUCCAAGUACAGACCCAUAUAGGCACAGCUAUAUCAUCCCAACCUUUCAAAGGAGGGGCGAUACAAAAUGAUUCCCACCAGUUCCAAACUUACACUUGAUUUGACACAAAAUAGUUAGACGUCAAUUGUCAGUACAAUUAAUUUAUCGCAGACCCAGAAGAUAGCCGAAGCACCUCAGCUCACCCUACCCUGUU
rnacentral:lncRNA from 1 species